UCCUGAAGCGCUGUUGUAGGAGUC
rnacentral:piRNA from 1 species